GUGGGAGCGGCCAGCUGGCGGCAAGAGCCGUAAUGGGACUGGGGCUGCCAAUUAAGCCUGAUCAAGAUGACAACCUCCCAAAAGCAUCGAGACUUCGUGGCAGAGCCCAUGGGAGAAAAGCCAGUGGGGAGUCUGGCCAAGAUUGGUGAAGUCCUGGGCAAGAAGCUGGAGGAAAGAGGCUUUGACAAGGCCUAUGUGGUCUUUGGCCAGUUUCUGGUGCUAAAGAAAGAUGAAGAUCUCUUCCGGGAAAGGCUGAAGAACACAUGUGGUGCCAAUGCCAAGCAGUCGCGGGACUGCUUUGGAUGUCUUUGAGAGUGGUGCAACGCCUUCUUGUGAUGCUCUUUGGGGAACCCUCCAGCCCCAGCCCUAGCUUUGAGUCUCCAGAGUUUGCAGCCGAGUAGGGACUCUUCCCCUGUCCUCUACAAAGGAAAAGAUUGCUGUGGUUGUACUCACCUCUGACGUACUCCAGGGUCUUUUGGGAGUUUCUCCCCUAACCAUUUCAACUUUUUUGGAAUUUUCACUCUUGCAUGCAUCUCCCUUCCUUCUUCCCCUGCCAGUUUUCUGGUGAAAGUUGUGAGCUUUCCUGAGUGGAUUCCUGGCCCCUUCCCUUACCCCCAUCCUCACCUCCUGUCUGUUUGAUACCAUUUGGCUCCUUUUUUGGCAAGAAUAGUCACUGUCCUCGUAAAGUUUUUUAGCUCAAUAAAGUCAGUGGCCUUCAAAAAAAAAA